rnacentral:lncRNA from 1 species
GAAAGUCUAAUGGGCAACUGAGCACUGGUCACCUAUCCUUGGACAGCCAUGGACCUGACACUGAGAAUGGAACUUCAUUCAGGGAUGUGCUGGAGCUGACUGGGCUCAGACAGUGACCACAGAGAACUGCCAUUUGGAAUCAUUGCAUUCCUACAGGCAGGGCCCGGGCCUGUGGCCAAGGGUGAUGUUGGAGACACAGAGAAAAAUCAGACUCCCUCGUUUUUCUGAGGUAC